rnacentral:lncRNA from 1 species
GAAGAGACCAGCUGGGCUCUAAGAUAGGGAGACCCUUUCUACAUUGGUGCCUUGACAUGUGACUCUUUUGUCACUUCGUGCUCCAGAAUCACCCCCUGAUGAACUGCUAUCACUUUCAAAUGACCUUGUCUUUUCUCAGGCCCUCCGAACUGAUCAUCUCUUCCUUCUAAUACAAGAGGAUCUUCCCUGGAAGACCACUGCACACCUUCUAGUAACACUGGGACCCUGGUCUCCAUCACUCUCUGCUGCCUGGUAACUGGUAUUGGACACCUGGACAGCUGCAUCCCCGAGCCUUGAGAACCCAACACGUGUUCUGGAAUGACUGGCAGUAGCACCCCACCACUCAACCCCCAUAUGAGAAGGAAAAGGCCUCCUGCCUCCUCUUCUUUCACCAGACACUGUGGGCUCCCAAUUCCCAUGUGCACCCCAAAGAUCCAAGCCACUAGCUCUCUCUCCACC